AAUGUAAUUCUCUUCAUGUUACAGGAAAAACUGGGAAGACGCCGACAGCGGGAGGAGGGUCCAGCUUCAGCCGCUACAAUUAUUGGUCARUGGGAACAGCUGAUCGAGGUAAAUGUGCUUCCACUUCCCCUUUUGCACAUYAACACGUUUUUUGAAAAAUCCAAAAUCCAAACCUCAAGCAAGCGUAAGAAUGCUUUUUUUUUUUUUUGCGGAAUUGAGGAAGUUUUUGCUAAUUCUGUUGUUUCCAUCCACCUAAUAAGAUACUUCAAAAUACACAUAAAAACAUUGAUAAACAUAGCUAUAGAUUAUCUGUAAAACAGGAUUGCUACUUUGAAAUAUUUGUCAUUCAAGUCUGAAAAAUAAACAAAAAUUAUUCAUCUAUUUCUAAAUAAAGUCAUUGGCGGGCUGGACUGAAGUCACACAUGGGCCAGAGGUGAACAAGCCCUGUUGUAUGAUAUAGACAAAACAGCAAAACAAAUUUUACUAACAAUAGUAUUUGUAAUGAAGUGAAAGAGAUAUCCCAGUCAUCUUUGGGUCAUUCAAAGUUUAAUCGAGUUGAAAACGUUGGACCUUAAUGAGCCACUGGCAGCACCUUUCAUAUUUCUUUUGAUCUAUGUUUUUCUUUUCAUUUCUACAUCAAAAUGUCCCAUUUGUCAGUUUAGAUUAUUACAAUAACUUGGACUAAUAACUGAAAAGUCUGGAUCUAAUAGAUGUAUUCAAUACGUAUCAUUUGUUAGUAACCAUUUCAUUUUAAACUUCAAAUUUGGAAAAAGCAUAGAUGUUGCUGGSGAGAAGGUGAAAAACAAUCUGGUUUUCAUCUUGUAAGGAGUAAAGAUGGACAGAAGAYGAACAGUCAACCUUUAACCAUGUCRACUGAUGCAGAAAAGUACAAGAYGGCUGCAACUAAUAUUCAACCUUAAACACAAAAAUUGGCUACAAAUCAGUCACCUCUGAAGGUAUGGAGCUAAAUUUUGGUGAGGUGGAAGCUGAGAGUUAUCCCCAACACACCUAAACAUGCUGGAUCUGGUUAAAACCUUGGCAUUACCUGUUGGAGUUAACCCUCUCUGUUAGCAGAAURUCUUACAAACCAUGGGACUGAUUUUAAUAAAGMURUCRGAAAAAGAUUGGUGACCAUUUUUCCAGUUAAGAUGAUCUAAGUCUGAAAAUUUGACACAAAAAGAACGCUAUGCUUUUCAUUUUCUCAAGAAUCUCAUKAGAAAAACUAAGGUAACAUCACUCUCUAGUCAAAUGACAAAAUCCAACAACCCUGCGUUGUUGUACAACUUCAGAUGUUUGCAGGAAGGACGAAACAAAACGACACCCGAGGCACGUGAUCGUCUCCUCAAAGCCAGAAACGUUUUUAAUUGUUAGGGGGRAAAAAACUAACAUGUUAAAAACUUCACAGUCCCAAAUGUUUUGUGAAAUGUAGAAACUGUAAUAAAAAGAUGGAGUGAGGCCAAACAUGCAGCAGUGUAAAUGUAUGAGCAGCAAAGACAAAAAACAAACACCACUGCAAACACAUCUAACGGAACCAGGUUUUAUCAGUCAAUUCAGAUCAAUUAUUAUUCCUAAACUGAAAGUUUAGAUUAUUUACAGCACUUUGCAGGACCAGAGAUAAAUCAGCCGAUUUAAACUUUUCCUUUGAUCCAAACAAAACACUUUCAUUUCAAAACGCCACCUCUUCUACUGCUAACAGCUGCGUGACAGUUUCAAAAUGACAGAUAGCUCAAACACAGUUUAUGUGUUUACAAACUGCCUACUUUGGUCUGGAACUGAAAGCUGGCGCCAGAUGUCUUGAUAUGCCAUUUUAAACGUUUGUUUUCAUGCAAAUGUCUAAACCUUACAGGACGCAGAUGUAAAUGUAAAGACAAUUUGAUUAAAGGCAUUUGCAUUGUUUGAACACGGUGAGUAAUGAUGGCAUCGAGUGUGAUGGAGGUUGUUUUCAGGUUUGGGAGUGRGCGAUUGGACGGGCUUAUCAGGAGGACACGAAUGACUGAUGAUGAUUCAGUCAACAGCUUUCCMGAGGGAAGAACCACCCUGUAGUGUCUCAAGGAUCUAUGAAAGGUACUCUGAACUGGCUUUUGGAGUUCCACCUCUGGAUUUCCAGUGGCCCCAUCAUGGCCUCCCAUUAAAAACAUUUCUGUAGGCUCCAAGGAAGGAAUUGAUCAUUUCUCUGUGACCAGCAAACAAGCAGUUUGGCACAUAAAUAAUUAAAGCUUCUUCUCAUCCACUUCAUUGGGCAUUUGAGUGGCUGUGCCGACUUCAAUGUCCAUGCUGCAAGACACCGAGGAGGGGGGCCACCGUUAUUCCAAAAGCUGUACUUCUUCUUAACUUCUCAUUUUUUCCUCCAUUGUGCCUUUUAAUUGCCCCUCGGGGACACAAAGUUUUAUUGUAUUAAAUAUUUAAUACAGAACUGUAUGGACCGCCUUUAUGUUUGACAAUGACUUUAAAUGAAAUAAAUGAAAAAAAAGAGGGUGUAAAUUAUACUUGAUGUCUAUUUAAGAGGAUGAAACUGAAGCGCUGAG